GCGCGGUUAGCUCAGUGGUAGAGCGUCUCGUUUACACCGAGAAGGCCGGGGGCUCAAUCCCCUCACCGCGCACAA
rnacentral:tRNA from 1 species